GUGACAUCAUCAAAAGGCCCCCUGAAGACCAUGUGGUGAUUCAGCAAGAUGCCCACAAACAAAGAAAAAGUUUCUAGGCACUGGCAGAAAGUUAAUGCAGACCCAGUAGCUAGGGCAAUGCAUUUAGCAAGGAGACGAGAAAGCAACCAGAGAAGAAAGCAAGCUGCCUUGGCUGCAAAUCCUGAUCACCCGUCAAUCAGGAAUUUAUCAGAUGCUGCAGCUGAGAAGAGGCGAAAGCAAUGGCGGGAAAAUCAAAGAAAACACAGGGCAGAAGCUAAACGUAUAAGGGCAGUUCUGGAUCUUAUUAUACAGUAUUACCACCUGUUCAGUUAAUUUUUACGAAUAUGAUAUGCAUUAUGGAAUAAAAAUGAUUAUUCAUUUCAGCAUCUACUUAUGUGAUUUGUUAAGGAAUAAAAUGAUACAGAAUAAUAUUCAAAACAUUGCAAUAAUGGAAACAAUGACACUAUUUUUGUCAAAAAUGUCAUUCAGUGUAACAAACCAUGGUCAUUCGGUGUAACACAUAUAUUUAUGUAGAAAUGAAACAAUAUACUUAUUCUGAGCUGUACUUAUUAAAAUAUGUAUAAUAAUGUGUGAUCCUUCAAAAAUUUUAUUUGAUUUGAAUUGAUUUUCACUUCCUUACAAAAACUUCUUGCUGACAAAUGGGUAAAAUCUAAUGGUUUAAAGGAUAUUGGCGAAGUAAAAUGCUUUAAAAUGACAAAUAGUUAGUAUUUGGUGUCUGCACUGUGAUCUAUAAAUAGAGUCUUGUAAUGUGUCAUCAAAUAAUAGUUUUUCUAAAAAUGUCUGAUAAUAUUUUUUUGCAUAAAAAUAUUGUUACACUGAAUGACAUUUUAGUUGGUGUCUUCUGUACAAUUCCAGUAAAAAUGUAUGGUAGUAAUUAUUUUUUGCUCAGAAAAACAUAUAGUUAAACAGGACAUAUUCUAAUGUAUGUGAAAAAGACUAAAUUUAAAGCUCUUUUACACUUUUAUUUUUUUUAUGCUUUAAACCCCCUUUUCGUCUUUGACC